CGAGAUCAAAACUGGACUGACCAACAGAGGAAUCGAAACUGGAGCAGCCAAUGUGCUGAUCAACUAAGAUUAACUCAGACAUCUGUACGUUAGUUCAUACCGCCGAUUUGGGCGCUGCAAAAUCUCGAGUCAAGUCGAGCAAAAGAACUGAAACGAAAGGAAAAUCUAGGCACAAUCAGGCCUCUGCUAUCUUGAUCGAUCUGCCCAUGGGAUUGAUGAGCAGCAGUCAGCAAGCACGGCGUUUCUUGGCUUCGCCGGGGCUCUUGGGGCCGAUUCUUGGAAUUGGCCGGUGUCGACUCGGCUCAUGGCGCUUGUUGUUGGCGCCUCUGGCUCUGG
rnacentral:lncRNA from 1 species